GUGAGGAAUAUUGGGCAAUGGGCGAAAGCCUGACCCAGCCACGCCGCGUGAGUGAUGAAGGCCUUCGGGUUGUAAAGUUCUUUAGCCGAUGAUUAUAAUGACUGUAGUCGGAAAAUAAGCCCCGGCUAACUUCGUGCCAGCAGCCGCGGUAAUACGAAGGGGGCGAGCGUUAUUCGGAAUCACUGGGCGUAAAGCGUGCGUAGGCGGUUUUGUAAGUUAGGAGUGAAAGCCCAGGGCUCAACCUUGGAAUUGCUCUUAAAACUGCAAGGCUCGAAUCUCGGAGAGGAUAGCGGAAUUUCCAGUGUAGCAGUGAAAUGCGUAGAUAUUGGAAGGAACACCAGUGGCGUAAGCGGCUAUCUGGACGAGUAUUGACGCUGAGGCACGAAAGCGUGGGGAUCAAACAGGAUUAGAAACCCGUGUAGUCC
rnacentral:rRNA from 1 species